rnacentral:tRNA from 1 species
AGGGGCAUAGCUUAGUUGGUAGAGUGCUUGCUUAGCAUACACAAAACCUUGGGUUCAAUCCCCAACACCCCUU